AUGGUAAAGUUAAAUUUGAGAUCUUGCACGCGGGCACUAAUAUUUGAUGUAGCCUAACGGUGGAUUUAGCCCUUUUCAUGGAGGAGAGCGGGGACGACACCCAGAUAGCAAACGUCGGGCCCCCUUCCAAACAACGCGAAUUAAUAUCGGCCAGGCAUAGGCGGAUAAUUUAUCCACUUAGUGCUCUACCCAGCUCUCCCUUACAUCGGCUUUAUGUCGCCUCAUUGCGGCAAGCCGAUGCCUCCCUUAUCUAUUUGCGCAUGCACAUUCAUCUUUUUGCAACCCAGCAGAGAGGCGAGGCGGAUGUUUUCAGUGGAUGGCUGCGUGCACGUGAUGAAGGAACGACUCAAACCCGAAGACUCGAGAGAUGAACUAAUCAAUUCUCUUUCCGGCUCUGACUGCAUUGCUUAUGCGUACGGGGCUGUCACGUGAUGAAGGAACGACUCAAACCCGAAGACUCGAGAGGUGUGUCGCUACCCGAUCAGUCCUGGAAACACGAUUUGUUCCGCGCAUGCGCGAAAGUGCGUCUACUUCCGGCCGAAAUAAUUUACGGCAAACACGAUUUGUUCCGCUCAUGCGUGAAACUCCGUCUACUUCUGUUCGAAACAAUUUACGGCAGUUUUAAUAAAAAAGUGAGUGAAAAGUAGUUUUUUUUCUAAUAAUCUUUAUGUUUCUUUUUAUUAUAUUUUUUGAUUCCAAGAAAAUACAAUAUGACAAAAUAUUAUAUGUCAGGAGUGAGAAACUGAUUUUUAUAUAUAAAAAUACUUCUUUAUUUAUAGAAAAACUAUAAACUUAAAAUGAAUAUGUUUAUUAGUGAUUCUCUUAAAACCUUUUUUUGGCAAAAAAUUAUAUGUGGCACAAAUUGUGGCACAAAUUGAUAACCUAAUUAGAUUAUUGAAAUCCUUACAUGGUUGCCCUUGACAAGUAGGAUUUUCAGAAUUCAUCCAAUUUAUUUUUACAUUUGUUCCUUAUUUUCUUUAGUCAUUCACUAAAUCUCAACCUCCCACCCAGCCUCUCUCAGUCACACAAUCAAACAUCUAUUCAUUUACUUAAAUUGCUGAUUAAGGAACAGGGCAUUGCCCUUACUUUUCUAAUAUUUUAACAAAUGUCUGCAUUUAAGAAACACACAGAAAAAGUUAUUUAUGUAUUUAUUACAUUUAUUUACACAUUUGGUUAUUCCAAACAACCACCCAAACCCCACCCACCCACUCAGUCAACCUAACGACGCUCUGAAGGACAGUCAGGAAUCUCUCCUUUUAAGAGAAAUUUCUGAAGUCGUUCAUAAAACACAAACGAAUCCAUAGCGCGGUCAACCAUUUUUGUACUCUCCAACAUCGCCACUAACAGACUGUCGUAAAACAUCUAAGAUAAUGUGAUGCACCCUUACGUGAGAACACAGUAACCAUCAGCGUUUUAGUAUAAUUGAAACUUUUAUUUAUGAAAACAAUAUUAGUUUGGGGGGGGAACCAAACAAAGCGGAACCAAAGAGUAGGUAUCGUUACACCACGUUACCUAGAUGACGGACGCCUUCCUCUUCUCUCAGACAGAGAUUCGGAGACGAAGAUGGCGGUUCGCUUUUUCACUCACUAAUUCUGUGAUUCUGUUUUCCAGGUUAGUAUUCUGUAAAAAUUGUAAGGUUGAGUUUCCUCCUGAAGUGGAUGUCGCGUAUUGAAACUGUGAUGAGUUGGUGAUGGAACUUUUGACGUGUGAAGCUGAGUUAAAAAGCCACGUUAGGCUAUAAUCGCGGGAAGCACAUUUUGUCAACAAUUACGCUAGCGGCCGAAUAAGAGGCGUGUAUAUGGUGACCGUAUGUGUGAAUCUGUGUGCUGGUGUCCUCUCACUCUAAUAACGAUUUGUUUCGGGUUUUUAAGGUAUCCUGACAGACUAUAUAUGCCACUUAAUGUUAAGAUAAGAUGUUAAUGGGGGUAUGUUGUUUAAAACUAAAAGGGGAGUUAUUUCCUAAUGUUAUACGGAAGCAGUUUGGUGACUGUCCUGGGUUUAAAAAAAGGUAUAGUAAGUUAAACAGUUUUCCCUACGUGUAUGGUGAUUCAUGUGUUGACUUUAAAGUCAUUAUUGUAAUUCAUUUACAGCCAAAGAGGGUUUAUGAUUCAUGAUUACAUUAGUAUUAUGGUGGAUUCCUGAGGUAAAAAAAGAAAAGAAAACAAAUAUAUCUAAGUAUAAGACAUGAUUUAUCCUUUUGAUAUUAUUGCACUUUAACAAAAGAGUGAUGUUGAUUUUUGUAAAGACACAAUUAUUUUCUGUGAAUGUGAGUAUGAAAGAUGUUGCUCACUGAUCUGUGGAGAGUAUAGAAAACCUGUAAUGUUUAAAUUGAAAUUAACAAAUGUAUACUGAAACAUGAUUACACUUGGGAAAUGUUUUAUUGUUUUGUAAAAUUGAAAUUUGUAAUAAAGAGACAGAGACAGAGAUUCGGAGACGAAGAUGGCGGUUCGCUUUUUCACUCACUAAUUCUGUGAUUCUGUUUUCCAGAGCUGAGAUAAGUGAACCCCAAGCUAUAAAAGAAAUCAUUUGUUACUCCAGUUACACAUUUGAAACUCGUAACAAUAACAGGAAGUGGCGCCAAUUAGAACGCAUCGAGUCGACUGUCGUGAAAAUGGGAAUUACCGGAAGUAGACGCACUUUCGCGCAUGCGCGGAACAAAUCGUGUUUCCGGGACGGAUCGGGUAGCGACAAGGUGAACUAAUCAAUUCUCUUUCCGGCUCUGACUGCAUUGCUUAUGCGUACGGGGCUGUCACGUGAUGAACGAACGCGUCAGACCCGAAGACUUGUUGUCAGAUGAGGUGAGCUAAUCAUAGACUUAAGACCCAUGUUAACAAUUAAUUUAUCUUUUCUGUUUCUUAUAACAUUAACGUUGUGUAUUGUUUGUAAUGUAAUAAACGUUUGCAUAAGUAGUAGAUGUGUUUGGAAAGUAACCUGUAAUAUUUGAAUUAUAUUUUGCUAAAAUUAACGAUAUGACUCGAAAAAAGAUUCGUUCAUUUUGCUGAACGAGACUCAAAGGUCCGAGUCAGUAAAAUGAUCCGAACUUCCCAUCACUACUGCGUGCGCAUUAGCAUGCCAUUAGCAGACUACGUUAGCUGAGGUAAGGCAUUAAAAUACGUAAUAAUAAAUCAUUUUUCUUCAGUUUUUGUCUUUAUCAGUAAUUUUGUUGAGUAUCAGUGUUGGAUGGAAGUGUGAUUAUAAUCAGUAAGUAUGCUUUUUCUUGUCUCUCUGUUUCAUACAGGUUCCCGGUAUGUUUAGCAACAAUCUUAUACUUUUAGAAAGGUAUGCCACACAUGAUUAGCACUUGUUUAUAACUGUGUGGUCUAGCCAAAAAUAAUAAUUUGACUGCGCUUGUAAAACAGUAAAGGGUUUGGAAAUGGAAGGUGGUAGUGGUUGUUAAAGGGAGUGUGAUGGUGUUUUAUUUUUAGAAUGGAAAGUAAAAGGUUGAAAUCUUUGUAUUGUUUAUAUACCCAUGUUCCACAUACAUUAUUGAUGUCAGUUCUUAGUAAUGGUGCCCUGACACACUUUACCGAGGAUGAGAUGGAAAAGGCAAUACAAACUGUCUCAGGCUGAGCCGAGAUAGACUUGGCGUGCUGUGGAGGCAAAGACCACACUUAAGGUGAGCUGAUUGAACUACAGCAGUUGACUGGUGCUAGGGCAGUGGCGUUUUUGAUACUAAAAUAAAAAAAGCGACACGGAAUUAGCUUUCACUGUUAUGCUGAUGAUACACAACUUUAUAUUUCCUCGAUGCCUCAUGAAACCCAGCAGUUUCAUCGAAUAAAGGAUUGCAUAGUUGACUUAAAAAUGUGGAUGAGUAACAAUUUUUUACUACUAAACUCGGACAAAACAGAAGUGUUACUUACUGGACCGAAAACUGCUAUGCGUAACAACCUGCUUAACGAUUGACGGAUGCUCCAUAAAAUCCUCGUCAUCAGCUAAGAAUCUUGGCGUUGUAUUCGACAGUACUCUGUCAUUUGAAAGCCAUGUCGCCAACACCUGUAAAAUUGCAUUUUUCCAUUUUAAGAAUAUAUCUAAAUUACGUCAUAUGCUGUCACUGUCAGAUGCAGAGAAAUUAAUUCAUGCAUUCAUGACAUCAAGACUAGAUUACUGUAAUGCACUUCUAGGUGGUUGCCCUGCGGGCCUAUUACAAAAACUGCAACUGGUUCAAAACGCGGCAGCUCGAGUUCUUACACAUACAAAAAAGUAUGAGCAUAUAACCCGGUUCUGUCAACCUUGCACUGGUUACCUAUAAAGCAUCGCAUUAACUUUAAGAUCUUGCUUAUUACCUAUAAAGCCCUACAUGGUCUAGCGCUGCAGUAUUUGAAUGAACUUCUAUUGUAUUACAGACCUCCACGUACAUUACGCUCUAAGGGGUCCUGUCAGUUGGUAAUACCUAGAAUUUCAAAAUCAAGUGCAGGUGGUAGAUCCUUUUCUUAUCUAGCGCCUAAACUUUGGAAUAUUCUUCCCUGCACGGUCCGGGAGGCAGACACACUCUGUUAGUUUAAAUCUAGACUAAAGAGUCAUCUUUUUAAUCUUGCAUACACUACACCUCCAUAAUAUUAAUCCUGAGAGGAUUUAGGCUGCAAUAUUUAGAUCAACCGGAACCAGGAACACGUCCAACAACAAAUGAUGUACUUGUUGCAUCAAAGAGUGCAGAACAGUACUCUACUCUCAGCCAGUCUUGUCUCUUUGUUCCAAGGUUACCGAAGGAUGCAGUUCAUGCCCAGACCUGAUGGCAGAGCUGAGAAUGGGAAGCGGUGACCUGACAAGAGCUAAGAGGAUAGAGCUGGAUAAAGGACGCGACAACUUUGUUUUUCCUACAACAUUUCAAAUGAUAUUAGAUUGUUAAUGAUAAUCUUAAAUCCUUAAUUUUUAUAUUUUUAUUAAGCCUUGUUGUGCAAGCACUGUUGAGGGUUUUUUUUCUCGAUGGGAGUUUUGGGUUCCUCACCACCGUUUGCAUAUUGUUUUGCACUAUCUGCCUGGCCGGGGGGGCUGCUUUAGAAUUCAUACUUGUAUUAAAUGUGUCUCAUGUACAGCUGCUUUGUAACAAUGAAAAUUGUAAAAAAGCGCUAUAUAAAUAAAGUUGAGUUGAGUUAAAAACAGGGAUUUGUUACUUUGCAGUUCAACUGUAAAUAAGGCACACUGAAGCUGCUCAGUUCAUCUCACAUUUCAAAGGUGGCAAUAUUUUUCAAUCAAAGACUGCAAUCUAAUUAUUCAAUUCAAUUCAAGUUUAUUUAUAUAGCGCUUUUCACAAUGUGUAUUGUUUCAAAGCAGCUUUACAGGGGCAAACAGGAAAAACAGAUAAGUUAGAACACAGCACAGUGCAUGGUGUUUAUACAACGAGUAUACAAAUGGUGUUUUAUUCUAAUAAAUAAUAUCUAAUUUCUAAAUAAAUAAAUAGAUGAAUGAAUGCAGUCUCCCGGUGAGCAGGCCAACACUGCCCUGCUGUGGCGAGGAACCCAAACUCCAAUGAUUGAUUAAUGGAGAAAAAAACCUCGGGAGAAACCAGGCUCAACGGGGAGGGCCAGAUCCCCUCUGACGUGUCAUAGCUGCAGUCAAACUGCUGACAUGUGAUUUAAGUUUAGCAUUUAAUACCAAAUAUUGUAACUUCAGCAUUAAUAAGACAAAUAGUCAGUCUUUGCUCUUGGUUGGGGAUGUAGUGGUCUGAGCUGGGAUGGUCUGAUGGUCAUAUUUCUCUUGUUGAAUUGAAUUGAAUUACAGGGAGGAGGACCGGCACCUGGGCCCAUGGUGCUCAAACAACAGCCUGCCACUUAACACCUCCAAGACAAAGGAGAUCAUCGUGGACUUCAGGAAGGCGAAAGGAGGCACACACGACCCCAUCCACAUUAAUAGGAUGGCUGUUGAACGUGUUUGCAGUUUUAAGUUCCUGGGGACUAGGGCUGCAACUAACGAUUAUUUUAAUAAUCGAUUAAUCUAUAAAUUAUUUUUUCGAUUAAUCGAUGAAUCUGAUAAAAACAUAAACCAAGAAAAGCAUUCAUUUCCAACCCUUUAUUCAAAAACAGAACUUAAAUCUUUAGAAACUGCACAAACAUGUUGCUCCUUGAACAUCCCUGAGCUGUUAUAAUAAUAAUAAAAUAAAAAUGGACUAACACAAAAAACAUACACAUGUAUGUUUUACAUCUGCCAAAUAUAUAGACUUAUUUUUAAAUAAAGUGCCACCUGAGCUGUCAGAACAAUAAAUAAUUUAUAAAAAAUAAAGAACAAUACAAAUCAGAAAAUUUGACAGGAUUUGUUUUAAUGUCAGAACUUGUUCUCUACACUAAACUGCAGACAGACACCCGCAGAUGCACACACUCGCAGACGCACACACUUUUGCAGACGCACAUACUCACAAUCUCUCACACUGACACACACACACACACUCUCUCUCAAAUUCACUUGAAGCUUAUUCAUUAAAUUAUUACCAUCAUUGUAGUAAGUGCAAGCUUCAUUUAAACACCACAUUUUAACAAAGCUUAAGAUGACCGAGUGCUAUAAAAGAACACACACAAAUAUAUUUGUCAAUAAUAACCUACAUGGGACAAAGCACAGAAUAUACACUGCAAAAAUUGCUUUUCUAACUUAGUAGUUUUGUCCUGUUGUCAGUUCAAAUAUCAAAAAAAUCUUAAAUCAAGAUACAUUUACUAGCCACAUGAAAUAUAAUAAGAAAUGAUGUCUUGUUUUCUGAAAAAAACACCUCAAAUUAAGUGAUUGUUUGCUUUUUUCCCAGAACUGUUUCAUUAUUGAACUCUGCCCCCCACUGAUUCCACUACCCCUCAUAACUAUAACUUUAAUGCUGCUAUUGCAUUGUUUACAUUGCACUACAGGGCUGCCAUGCAUGACUGAACUGUACACACCAGUAAUUCAUGUAUCUGCUCUACCGGACUGUUUACACACACAUAGCAUCAACUUCACUCUAUACUGCUCACUUGCACACCAGGAAUAUUAUACUGAAUGCUCAUUUGCACUAAUGGACUACUCUCAUAACUGCAUUACCUCAUCUACUGCACUGUAACUUUCAUAACUGCAUUACCUCAUCUACUGCACUGUAACUUUCAUAACUGCAUUACCUCAUCUACUGCACUGUAACUUCAAUAACUGCACCAACUUCUCUACUGCACUGUAACUUCAAUAACCGCAUUAACUCAUCUAUUGCACUGUAACUUCAAUAACUGCAUUACCUCAUCUACUGCACUGUAACUUCAAUAACUGCAUUACCUCAUCUACUGCACUGUAACCUUAAUAACUGCAUUAACUCAUCUACUGCACUGUAACUUCAAUAACUGCACUAACUAAUCUACUGCACUGUAAAUGUAUAACUGCAUUACCUCAUCUACUGCACUGUAACUUUCAUAACUGCAUUACCUCAUCUACUGCACUGUAACCUUAAUAACUGCAUUAACUCAUCUACUGCACUGUAACUUCAAUAACCACAGUAACUCAUCUAUUGCACUGUAACUUUAAUAGCUAAUGUCUAUAAUUAAUGCACACUUAAGUCACUUGUACUAUUGUAUAGUCUAAAUUGCUAUCUGUUCAUAACCACCUGUACAUUAAUGUUCACAGUAUAUAGCCUUCUGUUUAUAUUGUUCAUAGUACAUACCUACUGUCAUAGAACAUUCCUUCUGUAAAGUAUUUUCAUAGUACAUGCCCAAUGUAAAGAAUUUUCCUAACAUUGUAUUCUGUAAUUAUUCACACUAUAUCCUGCACUUGCUAAUUGCACUUCUGGUUAGACCUAAACUACAUUUCGUUACACUGUACUUGUAUAUGUGUAAUGACAAUAAAGUUGAAUCUAAUCUAAUAUGUCCUACUGUAAUACAAAAUACAUUUUCCAAAACAAGGGAAUCGUUUGUAUUCAGCAUUUUAUCAUUUAGGUCCAAAAGCAAACAAACCCAGUAAUUGCAGGUAGUUCACAAUCGCAGGGAAAGAUGCUGAGCAGCUCAAUGCUCAGUUGGUAGUUCAGGAGUUUUCAUAUUUUUCUAACGUGGUGAAGGUUUUGUAGAUGGGCAAAUUAACUGCAUAUCUCGUCCUUACCAAAAUGGGAAUGGUCCUUAAACUGGUUAAACAAAAUGUACCGCUCUACAGCAUUUGAUGCAUAUGUCAGAAUGCUGAAGCACUUUCUGGUUAAAGGAAAGAGUCCUAACUGCGGUUUUUCAAUGUCUUUCUCUUUUACAGGCUGCCAAAAAUAAUCCCUCUGUACUCUGGGACUACACUGCUGCUUCUCCUGGAGGUCUUUUUGGUGUAAUUAAAGUAUAUGAAUGUGAAUCAUGUCUGUAGAUUAUAUCAGAGACUGCUACACGCACAAAAUGAAGAUAUUUUUCUAUAUCAGUAGUCUACUUUUUAUGUUGGAUAGUCAAGUAAUCCCAGUGUUGUAAGGUCCAUAGGAGUUCUCAAACACUUUGGAGCCAGGGACCCCUUACAUGGGAGAUUAUUUUUCAAGGACCCCUUGAAAAAUAUAACAGUUGCACCCUUAGAUAGGAUUAAACUAUUUAUUUUGUAUUUCCCAACCUUAAUACUUCAGACCCGUGUAAUAGUGAAAAAUUAAAACACAUUUUACAUUGAAUCAUGUUAAAUACCACCUUCACAUGGUUUCAUUGCAGCAUUUAUACAUAUCCUUUUUUCUUAAGACUUACCAUUAAAAUGGGUGUUACAAUAAUCAACCACAUUUUUUUCAUUUAUAGAUAAUAUUACGGACCCAAUGGCUAUGGAUUGCAGACCACCAGGGUUCCCUGCACCCCAGUUUGAGAACCCCUGCCAUAGACACUUUGAUGGUGGGAUAGCUCCCAGAAUAAUUAGAAAUAGCCAAAGUUUCCCACCAAUCUUUGAAAUUGCACUGCCCUGAUUGUUGCUAAGAGGUCUCUUCUCAAACAGUGAAACUGAUAAUGGACCACGUCAGAAAGCUCAAAUGAUCUCAGACUGGUUUUCUGAAUAUGACAAGGAGCUUACUGCACUUCAAUGGCCUUCAGACUCACCAGAUCACAAUGAAUGUAGCUUUGAUGAAGGAACAAUAAACAUGUCCAGGAUAAAGUGGAAAGGGACACAAAUUAUCUGAAUAUUAUCACAAAAUAUAUGGUCAACUGUAGGGCCUUGCUUUCUGGUGUGUAUUAUACAUGCAUAUGUACAGUACUGUGCAAAAGUCCUAGGCACGUUUUAGUUUUUUCACCCCUACAAAAUGUUUUAAGCCAGUUAUUUAUAUUUUGGUG